rnacentral:lncRNA from 13 species
GGGGACGGGCUAUAUAGGAGUGACAUUUUACAGGCAUAGAGAAUAACCAACAACAAGAGGUCCAGUCAUUUAUUCACCAUUGCAUAAAGAUGUAUUCAAGAAGCAGGUAGAAUUCUGGUAUUUCUGGACCACCAUUAGGAAGACAAAAAGUGUUAUACAAUGACGACAUAGACCAGGGGUGGUAUUCUUAGCACUUUGAGAGGCCCAGGGGGUCGGAUCACCUUAGGUCAGGAGUUCAAGACCAGCCUAGCCAACAUGGUGAAAUCUCAUUUCUACUAAAAAAAAAAAAAAAAAUUAGCAGAGUGUGGUGGUGGACGUCUGUAAUUACAGCUAUCCAGGAGGCUGAGGCAGGAGAAUCUCUGGAACCCAGAAGGCGGAGGUUGCAUUGAGCUGAGAUCGUGCCACUGCACAGAGAGAGACUCCAUCUCAAAAAAAAAGGGGGGGUGCAUCAUAAGAUCUACCAGAAUAUCUUUGUCAAAUCUUCACCAUGAGAAGCUUGGGGAGUUCCUGAAUGUAGUGACCGCAAAAGAAGCCUCCUGGGACUGCAGCUCCCAGGACUUUCUCCCUCUCAGGCUUGUUCACACACUUGGCCUCCAGCAACUUGUCAAAGUGAUCAUAGAUGUGUCCCUACUUGUUUAUGACUUCUUGGCUUCUUGGCUUCUGCUCUAGAUAUCACUGAAAUCUGGUAGAGGAAUGUCAAUCCAAAAGAAAUCAAGGAAAUCAAGGAGAAAACAGCAGACAAAAUUGUCCAACACCUUUUUUUUCAAGAUGAAAAACAGUUCUGAAAACUUACUGAAAUCAUCCAGUCCUGCUGCUUUCCUUCUCAACAGAUUUUUCCUUGCUAUUAAAAAACAAUUUCAUCAUCAAUGCAAGAGACACAUUCUGAAUAUCUUUCUUAAACCUGAUAUCGUUCUAAAUAUGGUAUACACACAAGCUAUCAAACAAGAAAUCUCUGCUUUAUGAAG